UACGUAGGGUGCAAGCGUUAAUCGGAUUUACUGGGCGUACAGCGCGCGCAGGCGGUCGUGUAGGUACCUGGUGACAGUCUCGGGCUCAACUCGAGGGGGUCUGGGUAGACCGCACGACUGGAGGCGGGAGAGGCAAGCGGUACUCGAUGGGUGAGGGUAAAAUCCGUUGAUCCAUUGAAGACCACCAGUGGCGAAGGCGGCUUGCCAGAACGCGCUCGACGGUGAGGAUGAAAGCUGGGGGAGCAAACCGGG
rnacentral:rRNA from 1 species